rnacentral:rRNA from 1 species
CCUGAGAAACGGCUACCACAUCCAAGGAAGGCAGCAGGCGCGCAAAUUACCCACUCCCGGAACGGGGAGGUAGUGACGAAAAAUAACGAUACGGGACUCUUUUGAGACCCCGUAAUUGGAAUGAGUACACUCUAAAUCCUUUAGCGAUUAUCAAUUGGAGGGCAAGCCAAGUGCCAGCAGCCGCGGUAACACUUGCUCCAAUAGCGUAUAUUAAAGUUGUUGCGGUUAAAAAGCUCGUAGUUGGAUCUCAGUUCUAGUCGGGCGGUCCGCCUAACGGCGGUAACUGCCCGUUCUGAACAAGCCAGCCGGUUUCCCUUGAUGAUCUUCACCGGUUGUCUCGGUUGACCGGCAAGUUUACUUUGAAUAAAUUAGAGUGCUCAAAGCAGGCGUGACGCCUGAACAAUGGUGCAUGGAAUAAUGGAAUAGGACCUCGGUUCUAUUUUGUUGGUUUUCGGAACACGAGGUAAUGAUUAAGAGGAACAGACGGGGGCAUUCGUAUUGCGACGCUAGAG